ensembl:lncRNA
CACGUCUUUGUCAAAUUUUCACUCUCAAUUUCUCAAGUUGCUCUCUCUCAAGUCUUGGCACCUUAGGGUUUCAAUUUCUCUUUUUUUCCCGAAUAGAUUUCAGUCUGGUGGGCUUAGAGGCGGGUGCGUGUCUAAAAACCUUAAAUUGGUCACUUUCACUGGCGUGAUGGACGAAUUAACAAAUGCUUGCCCUAGGCCAGUCCAGUGUUUUGUCAUGUGAUUGGUUCAUUCUUCUUGGUCGCAUGACGUUAGACAGAUGAGCUUCAGAGCCGAUUUGAACAGCCCUCCCCUCUCCCCUGUGUCAUUGACGGCCAACCGGCGUACACGGUGAGGCGUCUCCUGAAAGUUCGACCACGGGGCAGGGGAUUCCAGUACCUGGUUGACUGGGAGGGUUCUGGCCUGGAGGAGAGGUGCUGGGUCCCCUCUAGGGACAUCCUGGACCCAACCCUCAUUGCUGAUUUCCAAUGCAGGCACCCCAGUCAAC